GGUGUGCUGCUCAGAACCAAACCAGCCUGCCCUCCCCGGGAGCCAGCAUCAGGGUGACAGCGAUGAGACAAGACUGCGAUCUCCUGACCAGGAAUCCGAACAUGGUGGUGGCCUGUGGAUGACCUCGGGGGGACCAGGACCCCCUCCCCCAACUUGAUCAAUACUCUGCAUCUGAGCCUUCUUCCCAAGAGAAGUUUCAGCAUGUUUACCAGAUUUUCAGAGACGGGCUCCUUCUCUCGAGCUGCAUCAGUGAAGUCCCAAGGUCCUCCCAGCAGCCCUUCAAGAGUCCCAGUAUCCUCCCGUGUAACCUGAGAAUAGCGAUGAUGAGGAGCUGAUGCCCUUGCUGGGAGGAUUCAUGGUGAGAGCAGAGGCAGAGAACUCGGCUCAGGCCAGUGUAA